rnacentral:rRNA from 1 species
AUUGAACGCUGGCGGCAGGCUUAACACAUGCAAGUCGAGCGCGCGGAGGACGGGUGCGUAAUGUCUGGGAAACUGCCUGAUGGAGGGGGAUAACUACUGGAAACGGUAGCUAAUACCUCAUACCAUCAACUGUGCCCAGAUGGUAUUAGCUAGUAGGUGGGGUAAUGGCUCACCUCGGCGACGAUCCCUAGCUGGUCUGAGAGGAUGACCAGCCACACUGGAAAUGAGACACGGUACAGACUCCUAAGGGAGGCAGCAGUGGGGAAUAUUGCACAAUGGGAGCAAGCCUGAUGCAGCCAUGCCGCGUGUGGGAAGAAGGCCGUCGGGUUGUAAAGCACUUUCAGCGAGGAGGCGUUACUCGCAGAUGAAGCACCGGCUAACUCCGUGCCAGCAGCCGCGGUAAUAC